UUCAGUGGGGAGCUCUCUACCAGCCUUUCAGGAGUCAGGCCAAAUGGUGAGUAACAGAGAAAGAAACACCUGAUUCCUAUUCCUACCCUGAAUCAACAGAAAUUACAGAAAGAUAGUCACAGGGACAGAACACACACAGCAGGUAUGUUUUAAUAUUUCCAAGGCAAUAUUUCUACCGUAUGGAAUCGUGGGGAAUGUGUGAGUGGGUAAGAGAAACAUCCUUACCCCACCCCAGAUGUACACAUCCAUACCAGACAUUUCCUUCCAGAUAGUCAACCAAUCUGCCCUGCACUCACGGGGUGCAGGAAACCCUAGAACUUCUCAUAACUGUAGCAGUUCAUGAAGAAUCUCGGGGAACCACCUGACCCACCAACUUACUCUGAGACACCGGAACAGUCCCACCCUGCCGCCACAGACCUGAGACCUCCGGCUAACAGGAUCCUCACUUUCUCACCUUCUGCCUGGAGAGCCAGGCUGGCAGACAGGAUGCCACUGCUGAAAGCAGUUAUCUUCUCCUCUUUCUGGACUUUUGGACUUGGGAACUUGGAGCAACCUAAAAUAUCUGUUUCUGCAGCAACAGCCAAGAGUGCUCACAUACCUUGUAAGGUAGCCCUCCCAAACUUUAACAGUCAAGUCAUACACUGGUACCGGCAGAAACCAAACCAAGGUUUAGAACAUCUGAAAUAUGUCCUCUCGGUAACCUCUUCUCAAGAUAGGAAGUCCAGCAAAAUUGAAGCAAGUAAAGAUUCUCAAACUUCCACUUCAACAUUGACGAUAAAUUUCUUAGAGAAAGAAGAUGAAGGCGUAUACUACUGUGCCUACUGGAAACACACAGCGUUAGAGUUGGCGAGAUAACCUACACAAGAACCAUCUCCAGGUCUGUGCCCACCCACAUCCUUCUCAGCGUGGGCAACCACAGCACCCAGCCUGAGCCUCCCCUCCUUGUAGCACUUCCGCAGAUGCAGGAAGACAUCUUGGAUUCCACCCUCUCAGUGUGGCCCACGUCAGAUCAUCAACUAUGGCCCAAAAUAAGGACAAUUUGACAUUAUUUCCUACUCCCUUAGACUAUCUGGGAACUCUGAAAAUACAGUGUGGAUAGCUUAGAGCAAAAUGCAUCUGUCUGUGUAUUCACUGUACAGAGAUUUCCAGUAA